CAUUGUAUUCGCAUAUAAGUAGUAUAAUGAUAUACAUAUCAAAUAAACUGCUCUUGGAGAUUAAUUGUCUGUAUAUAUUAAGUGUAUAUCGCUUACAUGUUUACGUAUUCAUUCAAACAAAGUGUAUAAAACAAAGUAUCUUUAGUUUUUCUCGCGACAUCAUACAUCAUAUUUGCAUAGUAUAAUUGCAAAUAUAAAAGCUUCAGCGAUGGAUCGAAUCGAGCUAAAAUGGUUCAAUUAAUCGACUGGGUGCGUGGCAGGAUGCAGCUGGUUUAGUAACAAAGAGGUAUUUCCAGCCAUCGAGGAGGAUGUAGCGCCUUCCACGAUUUCCUUCGUAUAUUUAGGGGUGUGGGAGGGCUACCAAAUUUAUAUUAAAACUUAUCAAACUAUUACGGUUGAUUAAGAAGAAAGCAUCCAAACGAGCCUAGAGUAGGAUAUCCAUUAUAAGUUAUAAAGAGCUAACAGUACUUCAGAAAUAUAUCUGGGCAUCAAGUUGAUCAUUCCCCAGCCAGAACUGAAUUUGGUAAAAUACCUGCAAAAAGGUGGUGUCUGGUAGCAGCAGCAGUUGGAGGGAUUGAAACGAGGUUGGAAGUUAUUGUGUAAACAGUCAUUAAUGUUAUGCACAAUAAACACCUUCAGUGACACCAAUAUGUAC